GGGCAGGUGGUGAAAUGGUAGACACGCAAGGUUUAGGACCUUGUGCCGCAAGGCGUGAGAGUUCAAGUCUCUCCCUGCCCA
rnacentral:tRNA from 1 species